ensembl:lncRNA
CUUCUGCUUUACACAAAAAACACUUCUAGUUCCUAAGCUGUGGUUCAGGACCCCUACAAGGUCCCCAGAUAAAUCCAAAGGGGUCGUGAUGAAUUUAAGGAUUAAUGAGGAAAAAUCUGUAUUUCUGUUGCACUUUUUUCUACUUUUUCUUUCAAAUUUUGGACUUUAAACUCCUAAAACCCCAGAAAUCUAAACAACAGAUGUAAUUAUCAAUAAAUAUGAUGGUGGGAAAUACAGUUUUUAGUAAUUUCCUGCCUAUAAAAUGUUAAACAUAACACUUUUUGAAGAGACGGCAUUUUAACUUCAGAAAAGAUCAUUAAAAACAGAUAAAUGUAGUUUAAAGCUUCUCUGGAUGAAAUAUUUCAUCAUGUUUCAUCUCAUGCAGUCUUCCUCAGCAGAUAAUUUGUUUUUCUCAUUAAAAAGUCAAUCAAAUGUUCAGAAAAACUGAAAUUUAAAUAAUAUUAAGCUCAUAAUCAGGCUGAGGUUUGUUUUUGUCCACAACUUCUAGAAACAGGAGUUUAGAGCUGGAAAGUUUCUGCAAAAACACAUUUUUCAAGUGUUUUAAAUGCAGAAAACUCAGUUUCUACUCUGAAAACAUCCCGUUUACUGUGCAACAGAACAUUUACUACUCGGUUUUUCUAGUGAAAUCUUCAAAAUGUUUACAUUUUGGAGCCAAUUUUUUUUUUUUUUUUUUUUUAAAUCCUCAGGAUACAAACAACCAAUAAAAACUGUGGAAGUAAAACCAAAUCUCUUGGAUUUUUACCAUUUCUGAUUGAAUAUUUUCUCAUUUUUGAGUGUUUCUUGGACAAAUUGACCAUUUUUCUGAAACUCCGGGGGCCAAAACAUUCUUUAAUCGUGAAAUUAAUCCACUAGUUGCUGAUACUAUUUGGUCACUAAGAUCAAAAGCUGCCAAAAGAAAUAUCUUAAAAACUGCACUUAGAUGUGAAAAAUGUUGAUCUGUGGAUAAAAAAACUAAUAAACUAAAACCUGGCACUGAAGUUUUAACCAUUCAGGGAAUAUUGUUGAAUAAAAAAUACAGAGGAGGCGAUUCUGACGAUUCCUACACAGUUCUACUCGGUAAAACGGACGUUUGUUCGACUAAAAUGAGAAUAUUCCACCACUCGUAGAGAACGUGAAGGUGAUGUCACGCUGUGCUGGGAAAGACUGUGAAUGUUGUCUGAACAAAAUGCCAAAAUAACACCAUUUAUUAGCAAAUCAGAAACAAGGAAAACAAAAACAAUGACUGGAUUUUCAACUUUCUGACGGCCCUCCAACCAAAUCUCAGCUUAAAACUGUCGUAUUUUAUCAAAAUCAUUUCACUCCACGAGUCUGGGUUUAAAAUUACUCCAAAAAUAAACCGUUUCAUUCAAUCAGAUUCUGCAAAAAACUAAAAAUUCAGCAUUCUUCAGCAGAACCAUGAAGCUGUCGGUGACUCAGCUGUGAUCAACGGUCAUGUGACAAAAAUUCUGUUUUCUCAGCUGAAAUGCAGGCAGUGUUUAAUCCUCGUGUCGUCCUGUGGGUCAAAUUGACCCAAUUUAAAGUUUGAAAAUGUGGAAAAAAAUAUAUUUUCAAAGUGAAACUUCUGAUGUCCACAUUUUCAACAUUUUUGGGACAUUUUUGAACAUUCUGUUGUGGAAAAAAAUGUUAAAUAAAAUAUUAGAAGUUUUACUGAUAUAUGUGGAAUCACUUUAGAUAUUUUUAGGAUUUUUUUUGAGGAUUUUUACUAAUUUUUUGGAAAAUAUUUACAAGAAUUUUGUUGCCAAAUUUGGGGAUUUUUUUUUUUUUUUUUUUAAAUAAAAGUUUGAAGGGAAACUUUUAAGGAAUUAUUAGAAUUUUCUUCCUGAAGGUUUUGCAAGUUUUCAGAAAUUCGGGGAAUUUUUUUGCUGAAUUUUUGGAUUUUGUUUUCAGAGAAGGAAACAAUAUUUUUU